rnacentral:rRNA from 1 species
CCUACGGGAGGCUGCAGUGAGGAAUAUUGGUCAAUGGACGAAAGUCUGAACCAGCCAAGUAGCGUGAAGGAUGACUGCCCUAUGGGUUGUAAACUUCUUUUAUAUGGGAAUAAAAUGUUCCACGUGUGGGAUUUUGUAUGUACCAUAUGAAUAAGGAUCGGCUAACUCCGUGCCAGCAGCCGCGGUAAUACGGAGGAUCCGAGCGUUAUCCGGAUUUAUUGGGUUUAAAGGAGGCGUAGGUGGAUUGUUAGUUCAGUGGUGAAAUGUUGCGGCUCAACCGUAAAAUUGCAGUUGAAACUGGCAGUCGUGAGUACAGUAGAGGUGGGCGGAAUUCGUGGUGUAGCGGUGAAAUGCUUAGAUAUCACGAAGAACUCCGAUUGCGAAGGCAGCUCACUGGACUGCAACUGACACUGAGGCUCGAAAGUGUGGGUAUCAAACAGGAUUAGAUACCCGGGUAGUC